rnacentral:rRNA from 1 species
AUGGUAGGAUAGAGGCCUACCAUGGUGGUAACGGGUAACGGGGUGUUAGGGCACGACACCGGGGAGGGAGCCUGAGAAACGGCUACCACAUCCAAGGAUGGCAGCAGGCGCGCAAAUUACCCAAUCCCGACACGGGGAGGUAGUGACAAUAAAUAACAAUACGGGGUUCUUUAGGAUCUCGUAAUUGGAAUGAGUACAAUUUAAAUCUCUUAACGAGGAACAAUUGGAGGGCAAGUCUGGUGCCAGCAGCCGCGGUAAUUCCAGCUCCAAUAGCGUAUAUUAAAGUUGUUGCAGUUAAAAAGCUCGUAGUUGAAUUUCGGGGUCAGUAGGUCGGUCGUGCCACUGGUAUGAACUGGUUUUACUGAUUCCUCCCUCUUGAAGAACUGUAAUGCCAUUAAUUUGGUGUUGCAGGGAAUCAGGACUGUUACUUUGAAAAAAUUAGAGUGUUUAAAGCAGGCUUUAGCUUGAAUACAUUAGCAUGGAAUAAUGAAAUAGGACGUUUGAUCCUAUUUUGUUGGUUUCUAGGAUUGACGUAAUGAUUAAUAGGGAUAGUUGGGGGCAUUAGUAUUCAAUUGUCAGAGGUGAAAUUCUUGGAUUUAUUGAAGACUAACUACUGCGAAAGCAUUUGCCAAGGAUGUUUUCAUUAAUCAAGAACGAAAGUUAGGGGAUCGAAGACGAUCAGAUACCGUCGUAGUCUUAACCAUAAACUAUGCCGACUAGGGAUCGGAUGAUGUUAAUUUUUUAAUGACUCAUUCGGCGCCUUACGGGAAACCAAAGUGUUUGGG